UGGGAAGUCGGGGGGACCACCCUCCAAGCCUAAAUACUACCUGAUGACCGAUAGUGGAGCAGUACCGUGAGGGAAAGGUGAAAAGAACCCCGGGAGGGGAGUGAAAGAGUACCUGAAACCUUGUGCUUACAAGCAGACAUAGCCCGUUAAAGGGUGGUGUCGUACUUUUUGUAGAACGGUCCGGCGAGUUAUAGUAACUGGCGAGCUUAAGGUAUUGAGUACCGGAGGCGAAGCGAAAGCGAGUGUUAAGAGCGCGUAUAGAGUCAGUUGCCAUAGACCCGAAACCAGGUGACCUAGCCAUGUCCAGGAUGAAGUGGAGGUAAAGCUCCAUGGAGGUCCGAACCCACGUUCGUUGCAAUGACCGGGGAUGAGGUGUGGCUAGCGGUGAAAUUCCAAACGAACUUGGAGAUAGCUGGUUCUCCCCGAAAUAGCUUUAGGGCUAGCGUCAGUAAUGAGUUUAACGGAGGUAAAGCACUGAAUGGGCUAGGGGGCGAUAAGCUUACUGAACCCUAUCAAACUAAGAAUGCCGUAUAAAUGCUUACCAGCAGUCAGACUGCGAGUAAUAAAAUCCGUAGUCAAAAGGGAAACAGCCCAGAUCUACAGCUAAGGUCCCUAAUACAUGCUAAGUGGAAAACGAUGUGAGAUUGCGAAAACAACCAGGAUGUUGGCUUAGAGGCAGCCACUCGUUCAAAGAGUGCGUAAUAGCUCACUGGUCGAGUGAUCUUGCGCGGAAAAUUUAACGGGGCUAAGCAUGUAACCGAAGCUUAGGGUUUACAGCAAUGUAAGCGGUAGGGGAGCGUCGAAUACGGGGUGAAGUCAUACCGAAAGGAAUGGUGGACUGUAUUCGAGUGAGAAUGCCGGAAUGAGUAGCGAGAAUUAUGUGGGAAUCAUAAUGGCCGAAAAUCUAAGGUUUCCUGGGGAAGGUUCGUCCGCCCAGGGUAAGCCGGGAGCUAAGGCGAGGCCGCAAGGCGUAGUCGAUGCACAUACGGUAGAAAUUCCGUAGCCGGCUCAAUCGUUAAGCAUACUGACACAUGAGAGUAGCUCUACCGGGCGUUGGUUGCCCCGGGCGUAAGCGAGCCGAAUGAGGCGAAGUGAGUAAAUCUUGUGGCGAGAAAAGGUGUGUGUAUUGGUUGAGCUGCCCGUACCGCAAACCGACACAGGUAGAUGAGGAGAAGAUCCUAAGGCCAUCGGGAGAAGGGUUGUUAAGGAACUAGGCAAAUUGACCCCGUAACUUCGGGAGAAGGGGUGCCUACGAGAGUAGGCCGCAGAGAAUCGGCCCAAGCAACUGUUUACCAAAAACACAGGUCUCUGCUAAAUCGAAAGAUGACGUAUAGGGGCUGACGCCUGCCCGGUGCUGGAAGGUUAAGAGGAGGACUUAGUGGCAACACGAAGGCCCGAAUUGAAGCCCCAGUAAACGGCGGCCGUAACUAUAACGGUCCUAAGGUAGCGAAAUUCCUUGUCAGGUAAGUUCUGACCCGCACGAAAGGCGUAAUGAUUUGGGCACUGUCUCAACAGCCCGCCCGGCGAAAUUGUAGUACCGGUGAAGAUGCCGGUUACCCGCAACUAGACGGAAAGACCCCAUGGAGCUUUACUGCAGCUUAAUACUG
rnacentral:rRNA from 1 species